rnacentral:rRNA from 1 species
ACGCACUAAGCUAUCCGCCUGGCGAGUACGGUCGCAAGACUAAAACUCAAAGGAAUUGACGGGGGCCUGCACAAGCGCUGGAGCAUGUGGUUUAAUUCGAAGCAACGCGCAGAACCUUACCAGCGUUUGACAUGGCCAGUAUGAUUUCCAGAGAUGGAUUUCUUCAGUUCGGCUGGCUAGCACACAGGUGCUGCAUGGCUGUCGUCAGCUCGUGUCGUGAGAUGUUGGGUUAAGUCCCGCAACGAGCGCAACCCUCGUCUUUAGUUGCCAUCAUUCAGUUGGGCACUCUAAAGAAACCGCCGGUGAUAAGCCGGAGGAAGGUGGGGAUGACGUCAAGUCCUCAUGGCCCUUACACGCUGGGCUACACACGUGCUACAAUGGCGGUGACAGUGAGCAGCUAGAUCGCGAGAUCAUGCUAAUCUCAAAAAGCCGUCUCAGUUCGGAUUGUUCUCUGCAACUCGAGAGCAUGAAGGCGGAAUCGCUAGUAAUCGCGGAUCAGCAUGCCGCGGUGAAUACGUUCCC